UACAGAGGUCCCAAGCGUUGUUCGGAUUCAUUGGGCGUAAAGGGUUCGUAGGCGGUGCGGCAAGUCGGGAGUGAAAUCUCUGGGCUUAACCCAGAGGCUGCUUCCGAAACUGCUGUGCUUGAGUGUGGGAGAGGCGCGUGGAAUUGCAGGUGUAGCGGUGAAAUGCGUAGAUAUCUGCAGGAACACCCGUGGCGAAAGCGGCGCGCUGGACCACUACUGACGCUGAGGAACGAAAGCUAGGGGAGCAAACAGG
rnacentral:rRNA from 1 species